AUACGUAGGGGGCGAGCGUUGUCCGGAAUGACUGGGCGUAAAGGGCGUGUAGGCGGUUGUCUAAGUCUGGAGUGAAAGUCCUGCUUUCAAGGUGGGAAUAGCUUUGGAUACUGGAUGACUUGAGUGCGGAAGAGGUAAGUGGAAUUCCCAGUGUAGCGGUGAAAUGCGUAGAGAUUGGGAGGAACACCAGUGGCGAAGGCGACUUACUGGGCCGUAACUGACGCUGAGGCGCGAAAGCGUGGGGAGCGAACAGGAUUAGAUACCCUGGUAGUCCACGCGGUAAACGAUGAAUGCUAGGUGUUGCGGGUAUCGACCCCUGCAGUGCCGGAGUAAACACAAUAAGCAUUCCGCCUGGGGAGUACGGCCGCAAGGUUGAAACUCAAAUGAAUUGGCGGGG
rnacentral:rRNA from 1 species